UACGUAGGGAGCGAGCGUUGUCCGGAAUUACUGGGCGUAAAGGGUGCGUAGGCGGUCAGGCAAGUCAGAUGUGAAAUCCCCGGGCUUAACUCGGGUGGUGCAUUUGAAACUGCUUGACUUGAGUGCAGGAGAGGAAAGCGGAAUUCCUAGUGUAGCGGUGAAAUGCGUAGAUAUUAGGAGGAACAUCAGUGGCGAAGGCGGCUUUCUGGACUGUAACUGACGCUGAGGCACGAAAGCGUGGGGAGCAAACAGG
rnacentral:rRNA from 1 species